CCUGGUGUCUAUGACGUAGUGGACCCACUCCGAUCCAUCCCGAACUCGGAAGUUAAACACUAUGGUGGCGAAGAUACUUGGUGGGUAGCCGCCCGGUAAAAUAGCGCGAUGCCAGGU
rnacentral:rRNA from 2 species